rnacentral:misc_RNA from 1 species
AAAGUCGUAACAAGGUUUCCGUAGGUGAACCUGCGGAAGGAUCAUUAUUGAAUGAACUUGACUUGGUUGCUGCUGGCCUUUUCGGAGGCAUGUGCACGCCUUGUCAUCUUUAUAUCUCCACCUGUGCACCUUUUGUAGACCUGGUAUCAAUUUUCCGAGGCAACUCGGUCGUGAGGAAUUGCUUUAAUCGGCUUUCCUUGUAAGAUUCCAGGCCUAUGUUUUCAUAUACACCAUAAGAAUGUAACAGAAUGUCAUUAUUAGACUUUAUUGUCUUAUAAACUAUAUACAACUUUCAGCAACGGAUCUCUUGGCUCUC